UGCGCAGGCGGUUCGGAAAGAAAGAUGUGAAAUCCCAGAGCUUAACUUUGGAAUGGCAUUUUUAACUCCCGAGCUAGAGUAUGUCAGAGGGGGGUAGAAUUCCACGUGUAGCAGUGAAAUGCGUAGAGAUGUGGAGGAAUACCGAUGGCGAAGGCAGCCCCCUGGGAUGAUACUGACGCUCAUGCACGAAAGCGUGGGGAGCAAACA
rnacentral:rRNA from 1 species